UUUUUGGACAAUGGGGGAAACCCUGAUCCAGUCAUCCCGCGUGUAUGAUGAAGGCCUUCGGGUGGUAAAGUACUUAUGGCAGAGAAGAAAAGGUAUCUCCUAAUACGAGGUACUGCUGACGGUAUCUGCAGAAUAAGCACCGGCUAACUACGGGCCAGCAGCCGCGGCAAUACGAAGGGUCCAAACGUUAAGCGGAAUUACUGGGCGUAAAGCGUGUGUAGGCGGUUCGGAAAGAAAGAUGUGAAAUCCCAGGGCUCAACCUUGGAACUGCAUUUUUAACUGCCGAGCUAGAGUAUGUCAGAGGGGGGUAGAAUUCCACGUGUAGCAGUGAAAUGCGUAGAUAUGUGGAGGAAUACCGAUGGCGAAGGCAGCCCCCUGGGAUAAUACUGACGCUCAGACACGAAAGCGUGGGGAGCAAACAG
rnacentral:rRNA from 1 species